rnacentral:tRNA from 1 species
GGGCCGUUAGCUCAGUUGGUAGAGCAGCUGACUCUUAAUCAGCGGGUCGCAGGUUCGAGCCCUGCACGGCUCAUCA